AGUGAACGCUGGCGGUAGGCCUAACACAUGCAAGUCGAACGGCAGCACAGUAAGAGCUUGCUCUUACGGGUGGCGAGUGGCGGACGGGUGAGGAAUACAUCGGAAUCUACUUUUUCGUGGGGGAUAACGUAGGGAAACUUACGCUAAUACCGCAUACGACCUACGGGUGAAAGCAGGGGAUCUUCGGACCUUGCGCGAUUGAAUGAGCCGAUGUCGGAUUAGCUAGUUGGCGGGGUAAAGGCCCACCAAGGCGACGAUCCGUAGCGGGUCUGAGAGGAUGAUCAGCCACACUGGAACUGAGACACGGUCCAGACUCCUACGGGAGGCAGCAGUGGGGAAUAUUGGACAAUGGGCGCAAGCCUGAUCCAGCCAUACCGCGUGGGUGAAGAAGGCCUUCGGGUUGUAAAGCCCUUUUGUUGGGAAAGAAAAGCAGCAGGUUAAUACCCCACUGUUCUGACGGUACCCAAAGAAUAAGCACCGGCUAACUUCGUG
rnacentral:rRNA from 1 species